UUAUAUAUAUAAUAAAUAAAUAUUUAAAUAAAUAAAAAUUUUAAAAAAUAAAAAAUAAUUUUUUUAAUUUUUUUUCGAAUUAUACUAUUUCAAAAUUUAAAUCCUAAACCCUAAAACUCAACUCUAAACCCUACACCAUCAAUCAUAAACCUUUUUUUUUAAAUACGCAACCUUAAACCCUAAAACAUCAACUCUAAACCCUAACUCCGAAACAUCAACUCUAAACCCUAAACCCAAAACCUUCAACUCUAAACCCUAAGACAUCAACUCUAAACCCUAAACCCUAAACUUC
rnacentral:lncRNA from 1 species